CAGCAGCCGCCGCGGUAAAACGAAGGGUGCAAGCGUUACUCGGAAUUACUGGGCGUAAAGCGCACGUAGGCGGACUUUUAAGUCAGGGGUGAAAUCCCGGGGCUCAACCCCGGAACUGCCUUUGAUACUGGAAGUCUUGAGUAUGGUAGAGGUGAGUGGAAUUCCGAGUGUAGAGGUGAAAUUCGUAGAUAUUCGGAGGAACAUCAGUGGCGAAGGCGGCCAUCUGGGACAACACUGACGCUGAGGCACGAAAGCGUGGGGAGCAAACAGGAUUAGAUACCCGUGUAGUCCCUGUCUCUUAUAC
rnacentral:rRNA from 1 species